GAUGAACGCUGGCGGCGUGCCUAAUACAUGCAAGUCGAGCGAAUGGAUUAAGAGCUUGCUCUUAUGAAGUUAGCGGCGGACGGGUGAGUAACACGUGGGUAACCUGCCCAUAAGACUGGGAUAACUCCGGGAAACCGGGGCUAAUACCGGAUAACAUUUUGAACCGCACGGUCACAAAAUGAAAGGCGGCUUCGGCUGUCACUUAUGGAUGGACCGGCGUCGCAUUAGCUAGUUGGUGAGGUAACGGCUCACCAAGGCAACGAUGCGUAGCCGACCUGAGAGGGUGAUCGGCCACACUGGGACUGAGACACGGCCCAGACUCCUACGGGAGGCAGCAGUAGGGAAUCUUCCGCAAUGGACGAAAGUCUGACGGAGCAACGCCGCGUGAGUGAUGAAGGCUUUCGGGUCGUAAAACUCUGUUGUUAGGGAAGAACAAGUGCUAGUUGAAUAAGCUGGCACCUUGACGGUACCUAACCAGAAAGCCACGGCUAACUACGUGCCAGCCGCCGCCGUAA
rnacentral:rRNA from 1 species